ACUAUAUAGAGGUCCCAAAAUUUACUACACAUGACCUAUGCAUGUUAAGCAUUCUAAAAUUCAUAUUAAAUACAUUUAACAUGGAAAUGCAUGAAUUUCUAUUUUACGAAACAUAUUUGCCAUAUAUGAGCAUUUUUCAUAUCAUAGGCUAGGUCAAACCCACCGAACCGUCGCGUAGGGUCUCGAUUCGCCGAACAAAGUUGUCCACGAGUCUCUAGAUACCCUAAAAGUGACCAGCGAAGAGAUACGAGAGUAUUACGACCAUCCGAGAGAUCAAACAUUAACCUAGGAGCAAAAAUGGCCAAAAUUUACCUCAAGGGUAGAAAUCUCCCCCAAAGCUCCAAAAGAGAGCUAGAACCCUUCCAAUCCAAGCCCUAGGAAGGUUCUAAACCAAUCGAUUUGGGUCCAAAAGCCCUAGAUCGAAAAUGCCCAAAAUAAGCCCUAAAUCUCAUUUCUAGGGUUCCAUCU
rnacentral:lncRNA from 1 species